AUUGAACGCUGGCGGCAGGCCUAACACAUGCAAGUCGAACGAGUGGCGGACGGGUGAGUAAUGUAUGGGAAACUGCCUGAUGGAGGGGGAUAACUACUGGAAACGGUAGCUAAUACCGCAUACCAUCGGAUGUGCCCAGAUGGGAUUAGCUAGUAGGGGGGGUAAAGGCUCACCUAGGCGACGAUCCCUAGCUGGUCUGAGAGGAGGACCAGCCACACUGGAACUGAGACACGGACCAGACUCCUACGGGAGGCAGCAGUGGGGAAUAUUGAGCAAUGGGCGCAAGCCUGAUACAGCCAUGCCGCGUGUAUGAAGAAGGCCUUCGGGUUGUAAAGUACUUUCGGCGGGGAGGCGUUACCCGCAGAAGAAGCACCGGCUAACUCCGUGCCAGCAGCCGCGGUAAUUC
rnacentral:rRNA from 1 species